UACGAAGGGGGCUAGCGUUGCUCGGAAUCACUGGGCGUAAAGCGCACGUAGGCGGACUCUUAAGUCGGUGGUGAAAUCCUGGAGCUCAACUCCAGAACUGCCUUCGAUACUGGGAGUCUCGAGUUCGGGAGAGGUGAGUGGAACUGCGAGUGUAGAGGUGAAAUUCGUAGAUAUUCGCAAGAACACCAGUGGCGAAGGCGGCUCACUGGCCCGAUACUGACGCUGAGGUG
rnacentral:rRNA from 1 species